AGUUGAUCUGGCUCAGGAUGAACGCUGGCGGCGUGCCUAACACAUGCAAGUCGAACGAAGCAUAUCGGAACGGAGAUUCGUCAAAGGGAAGGUAUGACUUAGUGGCGGACGGGUGAGUAAUGUGUGAGCAACCUGCCUUUCAGAGGGGGACAACAGUUGGAAACGACUGCUAAUACCGCAUAAUGUAUUUGGGCGGCAUCGUCUGGAUACCAAAGGAGCAAUCCGCUGAAAGAUGGGCUCACAUCUGAUUAGCUAGUUGGUGGGGUAACGGCUCACCAAGGCUGCGAUCAGUAGCCGGACUGAGAGGUUGAACGGCCACAUUGGGACUGAGAUACGGCCCAGACUCCUACGGGAGGCAGCAGUGGGGAAUAUUGGGCAAUGGGCGCAAGCCCUGACCCAGCAACGCCGCGUGAAGGAAGAAGGCUUUCGGGUUGUAAACUUCUUUUAUCAGGGACGAAGAAAGUGACGGUACCUGAUGAAUAAGCCACGGCUAACUACGUGCCAGCAGCGGC
rnacentral:rRNA from 1 species